rnacentral:rRNA from 1 species
GAUGAACGCUGGCGGCGUGCCUAAUACAUGCAAGUCGAGCGAACAGACGAGGAGCUUGCUCCUCUGACGUUAGCGGCGGACGGGUGAGUAACACGUGGAUAACCUACCUAUAAGACUGGGAUAACUUCGGGAAACCGGAGCUAAUACCGGAUAAUAUAUUGAACCGCAUGGGUCAAUAGUGAAAGACGGUUUUGCUGGCACUUAUAGAUGGAUCUGCGCCGCAUUAGCUGGUUGGUAAGGUAACGGGUUUCCAAGGCAACGAUGCGUAGCCGACCUGAGAGGGUGAUCGGCCACACUGGAACUGAGACACGGUCCAGACGCCUGCGGGAGGCAGCAGUAGGGAAUCUUCCGCAAUGGGCGAAAGCCUGACGCAGCAACGCCGCGUGAGUGAUGAAGGUCUUCGGAUCGUAAAACUCUGUUAUUAGGGAUGAACAAAUGUGUAAGUAACUAUGCACGUCUUGACGGUAACUAAUCAGAAAGCCACGGCUAACUACGUG